rnacentral:rRNA from 1 species
GCAUAUCAAUAAGCGGAGGAAAAGAAACUACAACUGCAUUCCCUAGUACGGCGAGUGACCGGGAAGAGCUCAAAUUUGAAAUCUGGCGUCCUCAGGGCGUCCGAGUUGUAAUCUAUAGAGGCGUUUUCCGUGCCGGACCGUGUCCAAGUUCCUUGGAACAGGAUAUCAAAGAGGGUGACAAUCCCGUACUUGACACGACGACCGGUGCUCUGUGAUACGUCUUCUACGAGUCGAGUUGUUUGGGAAUGCAGCUCAAAAUGGGUGGUGAGUUCCAUCUAAAGCUAAAUAUUGGCGAGAGACCGAUAGCGAACAAGUACCGUGAGGGAAAGAUGAAAAGCACUUUGGAAAGAGAGUUAAACAGUACGUGAAAUUGUUGAAAGGGAAACGAUUGAAGUCAGUCGUGACCGAGAGGCUCAGCCGGUUCUGCCGGUGUAUUCCCCUCGGUCGGGUCAACAUCAGUUUUGUCCGGUGGAUAAGGGCAGUAGGAAGGUGGCACCCUCGGGUGUGUUAUAGCCUGCCGUCGCAUACAUCGGGUGAGACUGAGGAACGCAGCUCGCCUUUAUGGCCGGGGUUCGCCCACGUCCGAGCUUAGGAUGUUGACAUAAUGGCUUUAAACGACCCGUCUUGAAACACGGACC